rnacentral:lncRNA from 1 species
CCCACCUUUAAAUACGAUGGUCAUUUAGGCCAAUAAAGGGCAAGUGCAAUAUGGACAGAAGGAUAGAAGUUGCUAAUAACACCAUUGGACAAAAGCACAUAAUUAUCUACUAUGACUCGCUAAAAUUUUCGCAAAAAUCUCGUUCGUAAUAUAUUUUUAUUACUGUAUUAUAACUUCUAACAUAAAUAACUCUCCAAAACAUGAAACUCGCGAAAUCUUCUGUACUAUCCUAACCUGUAUGUGGUGUUCUUGAGCAUAUUAUGCGAGGUAAAGCAAACUUUCCACUGCAGUCCU